rnacentral:rRNA from 1 species
AACAGGGAUUGCCUCAGUAGCGGCGAGUGAGCGGCAAAGCUCAAAUUUGAAAUCUGGCGUCUUUGGCGUCGAGUUGUAAUUUGAAGAAGGUAUCUUUGGGCCCGGCUCUUGUCUAUGUUCCUUGGAACAGGACGUCACAGAGGGUGAGAAUCCCGUGCGAUGAGAUGACCCGGGUCUGUGUAAAGUUCCUUCGACGAGUCGAGUUGUUUGGGAAUGCAGCUCUAAGUGGGUGGUAAAUUCCAUCUAAAGCUAAAUAUUGGCGAGAGACCGAUAGCGAACAAGUACAGUGAUGGAAAGAUGAAAAGAACUUUGAAAAGAGAGUGAAAAAGUACGUGAAAUUGUUGAAAGGGAAGGGCUUGAGAUCAGACUUGGUAUUUUGCAUGCUGCUCUCUCGGGGGCGGCCGCUGCGGUUUACCGGGCCAGCAUCGGUUUGGACGGCAGGAUAAUGGCGGAGGAAUGUGGCACGGCUUCUGCUGUUAUAGCCUCCUGACGAUACUCCAGCCUAGACCGAGGACCGCGGUUUUUACCUAGGAUGUUGGCAUAAUGAUCUUAAGUCGC